UUCCGGUUGAUCCCGCCGGACCUGACUGCUAUCGGAUUGAUACUAAGCCAUGCGAGUCUUUGCAGUAAUGCAAGGCAUACGGCUCAGUAACACGUAGUCAACUUACCCUAUGGACGAGGAUAAUCUCGGGAAACUGAGCAUAAUACUCGAUAGAUCAUAAUGCCUGGAAUGGUUUAUGGUUGAAAUGAUUCGUCGCCAUAGGAUGGGACUGCGGCCUAUCAGCUUGUUGGUGAGGUAAUGGCCCACCAAGGCGAUUACAGGUACGGGCUCUGAGAGGAGAAGCCCGGAGAUGGGUACUGAGACAAGGACCCAGGCCCUAUGGGGCGCAGCAGGCGAGAAAACUUUGCAAUGUGCGAAAGCACGACAAGGUUAAUCCGAGUGAUUUCUGCUAAAGAAAUCUUUUGCAAGUCAUAAAACCACUAGUGAAUAAGGGGUGGGCAAGUUCUGGUGUCAGCCGCCGCGGUAAAACCAGCACCUCAAGUGGUCAGGAGGAUUAUUGGGCCUAAAGCAUCCGUAGCCGGCUCUGUAAGUUUUCGGUUAAAUCCAUGUGCUCAACGCAUGGGCUGCCGAAAAUACUGCAUAGCUAGGGAGUGGGAGAGGUAGACGGUACUCGGUAGGAAGGGGUAAAAUCCUUUGAUCUAUCGAUGACCACCUGUGGCGAAGGCGGUCUACCAGAACACGUUCGACGGUGAGGGAUGAAAGCUGGGGGAGCAAACCGGAUUAGAUACCCGGGUAGUCCCAGCUGUAAACGAUGCAGACUCGAUGAUGCAUUGGCAUAUAGCCAGUGCAGUGUCGCAGGGAAGCCGUUAAGUCUGCCGCCUGGGAAGUACGUACGCAAGUAUGAAACUUAAAGGAAUUGGCGGGGGAGCACCACAAGGGGUGAAGCCUGCGGUUCAAUUGGAUUCAACGCCGGG
rnacentral:rRNA from 2 species